rnacentral:tRNA from 1 species
AGGUGAUUAGUCUGAAAAAAACAUUUGAUUUCGGCUCAAAAGCUUAUGGUUAAAAUCCAUAAUUACCUG